rnacentral:snoRNA from 1 species
UAGACCAAUGAUGAAAGUAUGUCAGAAACUAAGGAUUAUGAUUAAUCUAAUUCUGUGCUUUUGAGUACAAUU